GACUAACGCUGGCGGCGUGCCUAACACAUGCAAGUCGAACGAGUUGUUUAAGGUAGCAAUAUUUUGAGCAGCAAGUGGCGAACGGGUGAGUAACACGUAGAUAAUCUGCCUUUCAGACGGGGAUAACUCAGGGAAACUUGUGCUAAUACCCGAUGAGACUACGAGGGGGACCUUCGCAGCCAAAGGUGGGCGAAAGCUCACGCUGGAAGAUGAGUCUGCGUCCUAUCAGCUAGUUGGUGGGUAAAGCCUACCAAGGCGAAGACGGGUAGCCGGCCUGAGAGGGUGAACGGCCACACUGGGACUGAGACACGGCCCAGACUCCUACGGGAGGCAGCAGUGAGGAAUUUUCCGCAAUGGGCGCAAGCCUGACGGAGCGACGCCGCGUGAGGGAUGACGGCCUUCGGGUUGUAAACCUCUUUUAUUAAGGAAAAAGGCAAUCGUGCUAACACCACGGUUGUUUGAUGGUACUUAUUGAAUAAGCCCCGGCUAACUACGUG
rnacentral:rRNA from 1 species